rnacentral:tRNA from 1 species
UUUCCGGCAGCAGGAAGAUGCGCGGCGGGUCGCCUUCGCCGGUCCAGGUCAGCGGUCGGGCCGACAACUCGCCGUCCGCGUCGGCGCCGGUGACC